GUCAUUUAAUAAUUGAUAUCAGCUAGAAAAAAUGAUGUGUAAUGGGUGACUGUGUGGGAGAGGAAACUGCUCAAUCAUCCUGAGUAAGUUUCAGAAGUGAAGAUGGAACAGAAAAAUCAAACUAUGUGCAAGGCAUAUACGGAGACUGUGAGAAUGUGUCACUGAAAGUCCCGGAGAGAAAAACGCAGCAAGAUGCUGCCUGACCAUUGAGUUCCUCCAGCACUUUGGUAGUUGCUCCAGAUUCCAGCGUCUACAGUCUCUUGUGUCUCCAUCACACAGCUGUAUUGGAAUUAGUUGGAAUCAACUCUGGAUCCUGAAAAUUUUCAAGGAUGACAAAGAAUGAUGAAGAUGUGAUAUUCACUCACAGCUGAUCCAUCAGGAAAGGAUGCAAGUUGAAUGAGCUAAAUGAGGACAGAGGAGAUUUAAAAAAAUGCUGGAACUGUAGGUUACAAAACACUUCAACUUCAGGAAAUCUGAGAUGAAAGAGACUGCUAGAAAUAUCCAACUGGUGAGACAGCAUCCGUGAAGAGAGAAAACCCAAGGUGAAACUAUAGGUUGAUGACCUUUCAUCAGUUCUGACACAUAUUGGAGAGUAAAGGCGCAUAUAAAGGCACAUAAGUCUGGUUGCUUGAGGAUAUUGAGGCCCGAGAACUGUAAUUUUUCCUGUAACUUCUAUUUACUUCCCCUUUCUCUCACACUGAUAUAAAAUCUACAUCCCCUUGGGGACACAAGAGAUUUUAGAUGCUGGAAUCUGGAGCAAGAAAACAAGCUGCUGGAAGAAUUCAGGAAAUCAGGCAGCAUCUGUGGAGGCAAAAGGAUAGUGAAUGUUUCAGGUUGUGAUCCCACAUCAGGAUUGAGAGUGUAAAUGGGAUAGUUAUCCCCUUGCCUCCACAGAUGCUGCCUGACCUGCUGAGGUCCUUCAGCAACUUGCUUUUGCUACAUCCCUUUGACUCUAAUUGAUGGCCUUGUUAUUGAGCAACCCCUCCCUAUGUGCAGCAUUUGGGAAAGUGUUGGGGCAGGAUGAGAGAUGGUUAAAGACUUAAAUCUGGGGAACAUUUUCUCAAUCCAUCAUCCUACUUCCAGAUAUUGGAGUGUUCAACUAUUUAAUAAUGGAUGCUGUUUGUACGGCAACAAUUGGGAAAUUAAUUUUAAAAUGUACUGCAACUAUGCGGGUUUCCUGUGGAUCAGGAAACUUGGCAAUGAAAGGAAGGGAGGAAAUCCUGGCUCUAUUGUUUAAGUGCCAUCUCAGCUCUUCAUGUGGCUAAGCAUAGGAAUUAGAGUCACAAAGAGUCAUAGAGAGAUACAGAACUGAAAUCAGCCUGUGCUGAGCACCAACCAUCCAUUUACACUGAUCCCAUUUUGUUUAUUCUCCCCACAUUCUCAUAAAAUGUCCCCCCCCACCCUUUCAGAUUCUACACUGUCUAGUUACCUACAUAUCAGGGGCAAUUUACAGUGGACAAUUAAUCUGCACAUCUUUGGGAUUUGGAAGGAAACUGGAGCACCUGGAGGAAAUUUAUGCGGCCAUAGCGAGAAUGUGCAAACUCCACGCAGACAGCACUGGAGGUCAGUGUUGAACCUGGGUCACUGGAACUGCCUCACAAUUAAACAUCAAACCUCUUCCCUUCUCCAUAAUCCUGCCUCCUAAUCUCCUAAACCAGUGCCUCACAAUCAUCAAUAGGAACUUUUCCUUUCGCUUGAAACCACCCAUCAUUUAUACUAAGAAAAUGAAGAAUGGUGGAAGAUAAAACAGUUAAAUGUUAGCAAAAGAGAGCAGACUUUAGUGUGAUAUUGCAUCAUAAUUUUAAAUAGAAUAAGACCACAGUUCCAACUCACACCUGCAUUACACACUUCAUCCACAUUUAGCAGUGUGGUGCUUUCUUGCCUUUCAAUCUUCCAGAAAUCUGAUGGUUAUUGUAAACAAAAACAUAACAUAAAAGGCACUAGAUUUGUAAUUAUAUUUUAAAUUAAAAUAUACAUGUGGAUUAAAAAGAGCAGCAUUUCAUGUCUCUGUUGGACUCAGACACACUUUGUGUGUUGUGGAGCAGAGGGGGAAAGAACAAGACAGAUGACAUUGGGAUUCAGUGGGAAAAGGUCAAGGACAGAGCUGAAUACUGGCAAAAAAUGGAAAACUGAAGGAAAAGUGACAGCAGUAAGGGAAGUAUUAGUCUGUGGAAGAAUGGGGUAAGCUGCAGCUGACUAAGUGAAGGAAGUAAGAAAAAAGGCAGACAUGGAAAUAUCGAAAAAGAGUAGGAAAUUAGGUGCAGUAUUUUCAGAAUGCAUCGGGCCAGGAAGGAAUAAAACAACAGACACAUACCAUUAUUUUUGUUGAAAAAUAUUAAAUCGAAAUGUAUAAUCCCAUCUGUCAAAUCAAAUUCUCAUCAUGACACUAGUUAUACAAGGACAAACAUAAAAUUGCACAAACUCAAA